rnacentral:tRNA from 12 species
CUGUAGCUCAGUUGGUAGAGCGUGCGCUUGUUGAGCAUAAGGUUGCAAGAUCGAUUCCAGGUGUGUCC